rnacentral:lncRNA from 1 species
AGGUUAGAGGAUAGGUUUGUGAGAGCUCAUUUAUGGGGUAUCCCAAAAGGAUUUGAGAUGUCACUUUGUCUUCUCAGUGGUUCACAAUGUGAUUGUGAGCAAUCAUACUAUUUUCUUAAAAACAAUGAAAGGAUGAACUCAAAGAGAGAGUCUCUAAAGAAUAAUGAGUCACAGGAUCUGUACAACCUAUUUAAGAUGAGCCAGUAUAUGUAGUAGCUUCUCCAUCUCGUAGAUCUGGUAGGAUCUCUCAUCAUUUAAAAAGGUACUUGAUAUUCUGAUAAAGGAUUCAGAGAAAGUAUUUUUCGAGGG